CGGUAAUUCCAGCUCCAAUAGCGUAUACUAAAGUUGUUGCAGUUAAAAAGCUCGUAGUUGGAUUUCUGCGGGGACGGAGCGGCCGGACGCAACUUGCGUCUCGAGCUAGCGCUUUCCCCGCAUCCUGCCGCGAACCGUGCUACCAUUAGCUUGGUGGCGCUGGGGAUCGGCUCGAUUACUUUGAGAAAAAUAGAGUGUUCAAAGCAGGCCACACGCCUUGAAUAAGUUAGCAUGGAAUAAUGACUAAGGACUUUGGUUCUUUUCGUUGGUGUUCGGGACUGAAGUAAUGAUUGAUAGGGACAGUUGGGGCGGUCUGUAUUCCAAAGCGAGAGGUGAAAUUCUUAGACCUUCGGAAGACAAACAGCUGCGAAAGCGUUCCGCAAGGAUGUUCCCUUUGAUCAAGAACGAAAGUUGGGGGAUCGAAGACGAUCAGAUACCGUCGUAGUCUCAACUAUAAACUAUACCAGCUAGGGAUCGGCCAACGUUUAAUUAUUCGACUUGGUCGGCACCUUAUGAGAAAUCAAAGCAUCUGGGUUCCGGGGGGAGUAUGGUCGCAAGGCUGAAACUUAAAGGAAUUGACGGAAGGGCACCACCAGGCGUGGAGCCUGUGGCUUAAUUUGACUCAACACGGGAAAACUUACCAGGUCCAGACAUAGGAAGGAUUGACAGAUUGAUAGCUCUUUCUUGAUUCUGUGGGUGGUGGUGCAUGGCCGUUUUUAGUCGGUGAAGUGAUUUGUCUGCUUAAUUGCGUUAACGGACGAGACCCCAGCCUGCUAAAUAGCGCGGCCGAGCUUUGCUCGGUGCGAGCUUCUUAGAGGGACCAUGAUGCGCGAUAGCACAAGGAAGUUUGGGGCAACAACAGGUCUGUGAUGCCCUUAGAUGUUCUGGGCCGCACACGGGCUACACUGGCGCCUGCAACGAGCAUAUCAGCUGGCCCGAGAGGGUCUUGGCUAAUCUUUGGAACCGGCGCCGUGCUUGGGAUUGACCAUUGCAAUUGUUGGUCAUGCAACGAGGAAUGCCUUGUAAACGCGAGUCAUCAGCUCGCAUUGAAUACGUCCCUGCCCUUUGUACACACCGCCCGUCGCUCCUACCGAUGAAUGUUCCGAUGAAAUUUUCGGAGAGCGCCGGAGAACGGGGCUCUGCCCUGCAGAACUGGAGGCCCAAAGUCACUUAAAUCUGAACAUUUCGAGGAAGGAGAAGUCGUAACAAGGUAACC
rnacentral:rRNA from 1 species